rnacentral:lncRNA from 1 species
AACAUGUAUCUAUGGAAUACAAAUAUUCAAACAAUAAUUGAGUUCAAGAGCAUAAGCAUCAAAGGAAAUAAUCAUUCAUCCAAGUCAAUAAAAGAAGCCAACUAUUACUAACAAAUAUGGAUGACUAGAAUUAGGCAAUUAGAAAAGAGAGGUCAAUAGCUUAAACAUGGCAUAAUCACACAUGAGAGACCUGUAAUCAUCACCAAGGUAACAUAUCAAACCAUACUCAAAGAUGGGAGCAAAAGAUGGACAUGGUGAAACCUAAACAUGCCUCCAAAUGGGACAAAACAUCAUGUUAAACAAAAA